AUGAGUAAACUUGGUCAAGCUGUUGCUGGUCCCUCGGGAUAUGUGCACGCUUGCCACCAAUUUUAACCACCUGUGCACUUUUUGUAGACUGGAAACGCUUCUCGAGGCAACUCGGAUUGAGAACUGCUGUGCGAAAGCCGGCUGUUCUUGUGUUUCUCAGUCUAUGUUUUCAUAUACUCCGAAUGUAUGUAUAAGAAUGUAUUGCUGGGCCUUAGUGCCUCUAAAUCUAAUA
rnacentral:misc_RNA from 1 species